CGAGAAGCUUCUUUCGGGAAGUGGACAGUGGCGGACGGGUGAGUAACACGUGGGAACAUGCCUUUUGGUACGGAACAACGCUUGGAAACGAGUGCUAAUACCGUAUACGCCCUUAGGGGGAAAGAUUUAUCGCCGAAAGAUUGGCCCGCGCUAGAUUAGCUAGUUGGUAAGGUAAUGGCUUACCAAGGCUACGAUCUAUAGCUGGUUUGAGAGGAUGAUCAGCCACACUGGGACUGAGACACGGCCCAGACUCCUACGGGAGGCAGCAGUGGGGAAUAUUGGACAAUGGGGGCAACCCUGAUCCAGCGAUGCCGCGUGAGUGAUGAAGGCCUUAGGGUUGUAAAACUCUUUCAGGGGUGAAGAUAAUGACGGUAACCCCAGAAGAAGCUCCGGCUAACUCCGUGCCAGCAGCCGCGGUAAUACGGAGGGAGCUAGCGUUGUUCGGAAUUACUGGGCGUAAAGCGCGCGUAGGCGGCUUGGCAAGUAGAGGGUGAAAUCCCAGGGCUUAACCCUGGAACUGCCUCCUAAACUGCUGAGCUAGAAUCCUGGAGAGGUGAGCGGAAUUCCAGGUGUAGCGGUGAAAUGCGUAGAUAUCUGGAGGAACAUCAGUGGCGAAGG
rnacentral:rRNA from 1 species